rnacentral:ribozyme from 1 species
AUCAACUUCCCAGAGAAGUGGUACCGCUGCAUGAUGCUCCAUAGCUCCUUCCGCUCUCCAUCCCAUACUCCUACCCAAUAUGUUCCCGUCGUAUGGACCGGUACAUUUUAUCUUAAUUAUUUAUGAUUGGGUAUACGGGGAAACCCAAUCCCUUGGGUGGAUGGAAUGCAUUGCCAAAUUGUUAGCG